AUGUUAAAAGAAAUUGUUCACUUAACUGAAAUAACUUCUUUGAGAAUUAAAAUUAGUCUGAUAAUUUCCCCAUCCCCUGAGAUAGUAAGAAAAAGCUGCAGUAACCCUGUAGAAGAAGUAAGUUUCCAAAAAGAUUGCAUCUCAGCUUUCAGAUGGCAACUGAACCUGGGUGGAAAUGUGUGGGACCCUCUGAAUUCAACCCAUGAUGGAAUACACAUCGCAUCUCACAAGGGUUGGAAAGUCCCAGGUGCUUCUGCACUUCACUGGCUCUCCAGAUGUGAUAACCCUUAUACCUUGGAAAACCCCUACUUCAUCAGGAGAAUUCAAAACAUUGGGCAUCACCUCCCUAACUCUCAGCCCUU
rnacentral:lncRNA from 1 species